rnacentral:tRNA from 1 species
CAAUAAAAAGCUUAAUUAGUAAAGUAUUUCAUUUACAUUGAAAAGAAAUUUGUGCAAAUCAAUUUAAAUUGA